rnacentral:rRNA from 1 species
GACGAACGCUGGCGGCGUGCCUAAUACAUGCAAGUUGAGCGAUGAAGCUUGGUGCUUGCUCCACUUUGAAGAGCAGCGAACGGGUGGGUAACGCGUGGGGAAUCUGCCUUUGAGCGGGGGACAACAUUUGGAAACGAAUGCUAAUACCGCAUAAUAACUUUAAACAUAAGUUUUAAGUUUGAAAGAUGCAAUUGCAUCACUCAAAGAUGAUCCCGCGUUGUAUUAGGUAGUUGGUGGGGUAAAGGCUCACCAAGGCGAUGAUACAUAGCCGACCUGAGAGGGGUGUCGGCCACAUUGGGAACGGGAACAGGCUCCAACCCCUUACGGAGGCAGCCGGAGGGAAAUUUUCGGAAAUGACGAAAGUCUGGCCGGACCACGCCGGGGGGGGGAAGAAGGGUCUCGGAUCGGAAAACUCCUUUGGUAGGGAAGAAAGUAAGGGGGAGGGGACUGUGCAUGAAGUGACGGUAACUAAUCAGAAAGCGACGGCUAACUACGUG